CCUACGGGUGGCAGCAGUGAGGAAUAUUGGUCAAUGGCCGGAAGGCUGAACCAGCCAAGUCGCGUGAGGGAAUAAGGCCCUAUGGGUCGUAAACCUCUUUUGUCAGGGAGCAAAGGCGUCCACGUGUGGACGAGAGGAGAGGACCUGAAGAAAAAGCAUAGGCGAACUCGGUGCCAGCAGCCGCGGUAAUACGGAGGAUGCGAGCUUUAGCAGGAUUUCUUGGGUUUAAAGGGUGCGUAGGCGGAGUGUCAAGUCAGCGGUAAAAUUUCGGGGCUCACCCCCGUCGUGCCGUUGAAACUGGCGCCCUUGAGUGCGUGUGCAGUAAGCGGAAUGCGUGGUGUAGCGGU
rnacentral:rRNA from 1 species